GGCCCCGUCGUCUAGUGGCAGGACACAAGGUUUUCGACCUUGGUGCGCGGGUUCGAUUCCCGCCGGGGCUA
rnacentral:tRNA from 1 species